rnacentral:rRNA from 1 species
UACAGAGGUCUCAAGCGUUGUUCGGAUUCAUUGGGCGUAAAGGGUGCGUAGGCGGCGCGGUAAGUCGGGUGUGAAAUCUUGGAGCUUAACUCCGAAACUGCAUUCGAUACUGCCGUGCUUGAGGACUGGAGAGGAGACUGGAAUUUACGGUGUAGCGGUGAAAUGCGUAGAUAUCGUAAGGAAGACCGGUGGCGAAGGCGGUUCUCUGGGCCUGACCUGACGCUGAGGAGCGAAAGCGUGGGGAGCGAACAGG